rnacentral:rRNA from 1 species
AGUGAACGCUGGCGGCGUGCUUAACACAUGCAAGUCGAACGGAUCAAAGUAGCUUGCUAUUUUGGUUAGUGGCGCACGGGUGAGUAAUGUAUAGCUAACCUGCCCUUUAGUGGGGGACAACAGUUGGAAACGACUGCUAAUACCCCAUACUCCUUCUUGCCAUAAGGUGAGUCGGGAAAGAUUUAUUGCUAAAGGAUGGGGCUUUAUUGUAUCAGCUAGUUGGUGAGGUAAUGGCUCACCAAGGCUAUGACGCAUGCCUGGUCUGAGAGGAUGAUCAGGCACACUGGAACUGAGACACGGUCCAGACUCCUACGGGAGGCAGCAGUGGGGAAUAUUGCACAAUGGAGGAAACUCUGAUGCAGCAACGCCGCGUGGAGGAUGACGCAUUUCGGUGUGUAAACUCCUUUUAUAAGGGAAGAUAAUGACGGUACCUUAUGAAUAAGCACCGGCUAACUCCGUGCCAGCAGCCGCGGUAAAGU